rnacentral:tRNA from 1 species
ACUAAGAUGUCUGAUUUAAGUAAUAAACUGUAAAUUUAUUUAAGAACUUUGUUCUCUUAGUA